AUUGAACGCUGGCGGCGUGCUUAACACAUGCAAGUCGUGCGGUAACAGGCGUAGCAAUACGUGCUGACGAGCGGCGAACGGGUGCGUAAUACAUGGGAAUCUGCCCUUUAGUGGGGAAUAACCCGGCGAAAGCCGGGCUAAUGCCGCAUAAGAUCUUCGGAUGAAAGCGGGGGACCGUAAGGCCUCGCGCUGAUGGAUGAGCCCAUGUCGGAUUAGCUAGUGGUGAGGUAACGGCUCACCAAGGCGACGAUCCGUAGCUGGUCUGAGAGGACGGCCAGCCACACUGGGACUGAGACACGGCCCAGACUCCUACGGGAGGCAGCAGUGGGAAUAUUGGACAAUGGGCGAAAGCCUGAUCCAGCGACGCCGCGUGUGUGAAGAAGGCC
rnacentral:rRNA from 1 species